GGGAGGAGGGCACUUGUUGGGAUGAGCACUGGGUGUUGUAUGGAAAACAAUUUGACAAUAAAUUAUAUUAAAAACAUAAAAAUAAAUAAACAAUUCUCCUUCAAGCAUCUUACAUUGUAACCAGACUACACUAUGUGCUGGUCUUUUCUCUGCAUUGGGUGGACAUCUGUUGUAUUUUCUGCUUGUCUUAAAGUGACACUACUCUUCCAUCCUUCUGGAAGAAGAACUUUUCUAUACUCUCAACCCAUCCCUUCUGGUGCAGGAACUCCACUUCCUGGGGUGGGCAUGUGAUUCCUGCCUGGCCAAUGAUACCCCCCAGUCAUAGUGAUUGAUACAGGAAUGGACAUGUGACCCAGGCAAAGACAGAGAUGUGGAGACUCUUGCUAGGACUUUUGGGGAAAAGAUGCUCAGCUAUUUGAAGUUGUGUGGAUGUGAGGCCAGAGUUGCUGCUGCUGUUUUGCUACCAUCACAUGAGAACCUACCUGAGAAUGGAGUCAACCCUCAGAGAAAUGGAGCCAGGAAAUGAAGUGCAAGAAUCCAGGACCAGGGCACUAUUUUGUACCCCAGAUCACCUCCUUCCUGGAGCCACUUGGCCCCCUGGAUUUUUCAAUUACUGAGUGUCUGAAACCUCUCAUAGUUUAGACCUGGCUCAAGUGCUUCUUCAUCCAAUAAACAAACCCUGCUUUCCUGAGCUAGAAGAACUCUCUCCCUUUGAAUUCCCAGAGCAUUUUACAAGUUGAUCUGCUAUGACACAUCCCUUACUCUAUUAUAUUCGUGGUUGGUUUGUUUUUUCUUAGAUACAUAGCUUAUCCCCCUGUAGGCUUUUGGCAACUUGAAGGCAGGGCUUACGUUGUCAUUGCCUUUUUAUCUCACAAAGCACACAACAAGAUGUUUUGGACAAAAUGGGUCUCAGUUCACAUUAGUUGAGAGAAUAAAAUGAAUCAAUAAAAUGAA